UACGUAGGGGGCGAGCGUUGUCCGGAAUCAUUGGGCGUAAAGAGCGUGUAGGCGGCUUGGCAAGUCUGACGUGAAAGCCCGCGGCUCAACCGCGGAUUGUCGUUGGAAACUGCCUCGCUAGAGUCCGGAAGAGGAGAGCGGAAUUCCUGGUGUAGCGGUGGAAUGCGCAGAUAUCAGGAAGAACACCCGUGGCGAAGGCGGCUCUCUGGGACGGUACUGACGCUGAGGCGCGAAAGCUAGGGGAGCAAACAGG
rnacentral:rRNA from 1 species